GUGCUUGCUUUGACAGCACAGAUACUAAAAUUGGAAUGAUACAGAGAAGAUUAGCAUGGUUCCUUUGCAAGGAUGAUGUAAAUUUUUGAAGCAGUCUAUAUUUUA
rnacentral:snRNA from 1 species